UCUCUCCUUGAUUGGUGGUAGAAGCGCUUCCGCAUUCAACACAUGCAUAUGCCCCUGUCCGUGGAGGUUACUGUGAACAAAACAGCGUGUCCAAAGCAACCACAUGUCUGGCUGAAUGAUCUAGCAUGGAAUAACAAGGCAUCGACCACUGGAGUCAGCCUUUUUGUUGGUUUUACAUGACCCAGUUGGGCAAUGCAGGGCUUGUGCUUCAUUGAGGUUCUUAGUCAGCUCUACCGAACUGUCUUCCCUCAGUUGGACCUUGUUCCCUAUCGGGAUCAAUGGAAGCCAUCGGGGUGGUAUGUAUUCCGACGUGAGCGGUGAAAUGCUUAGACCGUUGGAAGACAAACGACAGCGAAGGCAUUCCGCCAGAAUGUUUCCAUUAAUCAAGAACGAGAGUGUGGGGAUCGAAGAUGAUCAGAUACCAUCGUAGUCCAUUACCGUAAACUAUGCCAACUCGGCAUUGGGAGUCUGUUCACUUUGAAGACUCUCCCAGCAUCAUCCCCCAAUAACGAGAAAUCCAAGUCUAUGGGUUCAGGGGGGAGUACAGUCGCAAGGCUGAAACUUAAAGGAAUUGACGGAAUGACACCACAAGGCGUGGAGUAUGCGGCUUAAUUUGACCCAACACGGGGAAGCUUACCAGGUCAGACACAGUAAGGAUUGACAGAUUGAGAGCUCUUUCUUGAUCCUAUGGAUGGUGGUGCAUGGUCGUUUCUGGUUCGUGGAGUGAUCUGUCUGCUUAAUUGCGAUAACGAACGAGAUCUCUACCUCUAAAUAGGCGCCGGUCUCGCAUGUAAGUAGGGAUGUGUUGGGGGCCUUCGUGUCCCCUCAUGUCCUGAGAGUGCCGGGAUCGCUUCUUAGACGGACUGUGCAUGUCUUUAAUGCACGGAAGAGGGAGUCAAUAGCAGGUCUGUGAUGCUCCUAGAUGUUCUGGGCUGCACGCGCACUACACUGGCACAGUAAACGAGUUGCACCUGCUUCGGCAGUCCUGCUUAGAAGUGAGCGUGGGAAAUCUUAGAAAACUGUGCCGUGCUGGGGAUAGAUGAUUGCGAUUAUUUGUCUUGAACGAGUAAUGCCUAGUAGAGGUACUUCAUCAGAGUACCUUGAUUGUGUCCCUGCCAUUUGUACACACCGCCCGUCGUUGCUACCGAUUGGCUGUAAAAUAGAGGCCUUAAGAGUCGCUUCCGCAAAGCUUUGCUUUUGAGGUUGUGACAAAUCUGGCCAAUAUUUCAUUGCUAGAGGAAGCAAAAGUCGUAACAAGG
rnacentral:rRNA from 1 species